rnacentral:rRNA from 1 species
AACGAACGCUGGCGGCAGGCCUAACACAUGCAAGUCGAGCGAAGCCUUCGGGCUUAGCGGCGGACGGGUGAGUAACGCGUGGGAACGUGCCCUUUGCUACGGAAUAGCCCCGGGAAACUGGGAGUAAUACCGUAUGUGCCCUUCGGGGGAAAGAUUUAUCGGCAAAGGAUCGGCCCGGGUUGGAUUAGGUAGUUGGUGGGGUAAUGGCCUACCAAGCCGACGAUCCAUAGCUGGUUUGAGAGGAUGAUCAGCCACACUGGGACUGAGACACGGCCCAGACUCCUCCGGGAGGCAGCAGUGGGGAAUCUUCGACAAUGGGGGAAACCCUGAUCUAGCCAUGCCGCGUGAUCGAUGAAGGCCUUAGGGUUGUAAAGAUCUUUCAGUGGGGAAGAUAAUGACUGUACCCACAGAAGAAGCCCCGGCUAACUCCGUGCCAGCCGCCGCCGUAACAC